CUACGGGUCGCUGCAGGCGAGAAAACUUUGCAAUGUGCGAAAGCACGACAAGGUUAAUCCGAGUGGUUUGUGCUAAACGAACCUUUUGACAGUCCUAGAAACACUGUUGAAUAAGGGGUGGGCAAGUUCUGGUGUCAGCCGCCGCGGUAAAACCAGCACCUCAAGUGGUCAGGAUGAUUAUUGGGCCUAAAGCAUCCGUAGCCGGCUCUGUAAGUUUUCGGUUAAAUCUGUACGCUCAACGUACAGGCUGCCGGGAAUACUGCAGAGCUAGGGAGUGGGAGAGGUAGACGGUACUCGGUAGGAAGGGGUAAAAUCCUUUGAUCUAUUGAUGACCACCUGUCGCGAAGGCGGUCUACCAGAACGCGUCCGACGGUGAGGGAUGAAAGCUGGGGGAGCAAACCGGAUUAGAUACCCGCGUAGUC
rnacentral:rRNA from 1 species